GAUCCUGGCUCAGAUUGAACGCUGGCGGAAUGCUUACACAUGCAAGUCGAACGGUAGAGGGGGCAACCCUUGAGAGUGGCGAACGGGUGAGUAAUAUAUCGGAACGUGCCCGGUCGUGGGGGAUAACGUAGCGAAAGCUACGCUAAUACCGCAUACGAUCUACGGAUGAAANCGGGGGAUCGCAAGACCUCGCGCGAUUGGAGCGGCCGAUAUCAGAUUAGGUAGUUGGUGAGGUAAAGGCUCACCAAGCCGACGAUCUGUAGCUGGUCUGAGAGGACGACCAGCCACACUGGGACUGAGACACGGCCCAGACUCCUACGGGAGGCAGCAGUGGGGAAUUUUGGACAAUGGACGCAAGUCUGAUCCAGCCAUUCCGCGUGCAGGAUGAAGGCCCUCGGGUUGUAAACUGCUUUGUACGGAACGAAAAGGUUUCUAUUAAUACUAGGAGCUCAUGACGGUACCGUAAGAAUAAGCACCGGCUAACUACGUG
rnacentral:rRNA from 1 species